UACGGGGGGGGUAAGCGUUGUUCGGAAUUACUGGGCGUAAAGGGCUCGUAGGCGGCCAACUAAGUCGGACGUGAAAUCCCUCAGCUUAACUGGGGAACUGCGUCCGAUACUGGAUGGCUUGGAUUUGGGAGAGGGAUGCGGAAUUCCAGGUGUAGCGGUGAAAUGCGUAGAUAUCUGGAGGAACACCGGUGGCGAAGGCGGCAUCCUGGACCAAUACUGACGCUCAUGCACGAAAGCGUGGGGAGCAAACAGG
rnacentral:rRNA from 1 species